ACUAUAAUAGUUUAAACAAAACAAAGGUUUUGUAAACCUUAAAUGAAAAAUCUUAUAGUA
rnacentral:tRNA from 1 species